rnacentral:lncRNA from 1 species
CAGUGCGCUGUAUUAUCGUAUAUUGCAAUAUGAGAGACGGGACCCAGCUUUGGACGAUCGAGUGCAGCGACACCAAGCGGAAGAUCCAGUCUGCGAAUAAAAAUGGCCACCAUGCAAGAAGAUUUUGGAGAUUUCUUGCCCAAUGAUGAUCGGUCAUGUGCGGCAAAUACCAAGUGUCAGGCAAGAGAGAUCGAUGCAGUUUGUGCAUUAGGUUUCGCUGCCUGGGAUGUGAGGGUGAGGCUUAUAUCAGGUCCUGCCUAAUCUAAACAGUUGGACACAAAGCUUAAGAGAUGCACAAAUGCAGUACUAGGCAGUCAGCCACCCAGUGCCAUCCAACCUUGACUUUGAACCAGUGAGAACUCUUCAGCACGAACCUGGGUAACUGUGUGACAGGGCACAUGUAUUGCAUGUGGAUGGGUUACACUGCUGCCGAGGAACAUGGAUCGCUGC